ACAGAGGACUUAGAAGCAGCGGCGUAGUACCCACCUCCCCGUCGGCCUUCGUCCUAGGGUUUGCUUCUUUUGUUAUACUCAGCACCGCUCUCGUGUUGUCUCUCUCUCUCUGUGUCUCGCACACAUUUGCCGUGCGCUCUUUGGUUGGCUCCUCCUCGCCUUGCCCGACUUCCCUCUCCUUCCUCUCUAUCUUUAUCGCGGAUCCGCCCUUCCCCGUCUUCCUCCUUCCGUUGGAGUGCCUCGCGUUUGGUUGGUGGAGGCGGUGGUGGCGCACUGUCCGCGUAAGUGCCACGGCUGGUGAGAGCACACAGUCGUUCUCUUUUCUCUGCCGUGUCGACGUGUGGUAGUGCCGCAUCUAAAGGGGCAGGCGUCUCAGAAUGGCGGAAUCCAUCGCUUUCGCGAAGGGGGCGCUGGUGGUGCCAAGUUGCCCCAUUAUCCCCUACAUUGAGGGGGACGGCAUUGGCAAGGAGAUCACGGAGGUGGCACACCGCGUCUUUGAUGCGGCGGUGGCGAAGGAGUACGGCACCACCCGGAAGAUUUCGUGGUUAGAGGUGCUCGCAGGGGAGAAAGCGUUUGAGCAGAAGGGCACCUGGCUGCCGGAGGAGACCAUCGAAGCAUUCGACAAGCACCGCAUUGGCAUGAAGGGCCCGCUGACGACCCCUGUUGGUGAGGGGAUACGCUCGCUCAACGUGGUGCUGCGUCAUCGGCUGGACUUGUUCGUGUGCCAGCGCCCCGUGCGAUGGUUCACCGGCGUCGGAUCGCCGAUCCGUCACCCGGAGUGGGUGGACAUGGUUGUGUUCCGCGAGAACACGGAGGACAUAUACUCUGGCAUCGAGUGGGACCAGGGCACUCCCGAGGCUGCCAAAUUUGCAGACUUUCUGAAGAAGGAGAUGGGCGUGACGACGGUGCGCUUCCCUGAGACGAGCGCGUACGGUGUGAAGCCGGUUUCGCUAGAGGGAAGCGAGCGGCUGGUGCGUGCAGCGGUGCAGUACGCUAUCGAUCACCAUCUUCCGUCUGUCACGUUGGUGCACAAAGGCAACAUCAUGAAGUUCACAGAGGGUGGCUUCAAGAAGUGGGGCUACGCCUUGGCCGAGCGUGAGUUCCCCGGGGCCAUCUUUACAAUGACGCAGUACGACGCCAUCAAGGAGAAAAGCGGCAAGGAGGCGGCUGAGACGGCGCUGCGCGAGGCGAUGGACAGCGGCAAAGUAGUUAUCAAGGAUUGCAUCUGCGACGCCUUUCUGCAAAACACAAUUCUCCGCCCAUUAGACUAUAGCGUGAUUGCAACCAUGAACCUGAACGGCGAUUACGUGUCUGAUCAGCUGGCCGCGCUUGUCGGUGGCAUCGGCAUCGCGCCAGGCGCGAACAUCAACUAUGUGACCGGCCACGCUAUUUUCGAGGCAACGCAUGGGACGGCGCCGGAUAUUGCUGGACAAGGUAAAGCGAACCCGUCCUCGCUCAUCCUGUCUGGGGCUAUGAUGUUCGACUACAUGGGCUGGUCCGAGGUGUCGGCGCGCAUCAUCAAUGCGCUUGAGAUGGUCUUUCAGGCAAACAUGGCAACCGUCGAUCUUGCGCGGCAGAUGGCCGGCGCCAGGGCACUCUCGACAGCAGAAUUUGGGGAGGCGAUCAUCAAGAAGAUCAACGGCGACGAGGUGUAGGGCAGAGGCGGCGCUUCGAUACCCACCAGUGGAGUGGCAAUGAAAAAGUGAACACGGGCACAUGCGGAUUCGGCACUCCCGACUCUGCUGCGCCGCAUUGUGCUUCGCUCUGUUUUCCCCCCUAUUUCUAUCUACCCUUCCCUGUCUCGUUUUUUUUUGUCUUUUGCUCAUAGAGCGGAGUUAAAGUAACCACCACAACCCCCCUCUACCCCUUCCCAUCGCUCUCUGCCCCUUUUAGAUAUUUGUGUACGCACUGGAUCUGCUCGCGCUGAGCUGCGCGUUGGAAGCCCAUUGCCUGUACGCUCAUCCGUGACUCUGGGUAGAAAGAUACCGAGUGUGCGAUGAAGGAUGCGAGAAGGGGCGGCUGCACAUUAGCAUGGUUGACGUUGUUUCAUGGAGUUCCUCCCUGCUCUCUCUUAUUGGGUGAAACACCAUAAAAGACAAAAAAAAAACAGCGCGACGAGAAGAUUCCGCAUGCAUGUGUGUGUUUUUACACUCAAGUGCCAGUAGGUGACUGGCGCACUCCACCUCUAAUUCGUGUGCUUCUGUGUGUGCGUGCGUUUAUUUUACCUCUAUUACGUGCGUCUAUGACAGUGGUGGUGGGGUGACACCCCUCUCUGUGCGUGGUAUCCAGUGGCUAGUAACCCCCCGCCACACUCGAGGGAGAAUGCCAAGCAGCACUCCUUCCUCUAUCCUCCAUCCCUGUCACGACCUGAAGUGGUUCUGGCCGUGACAGGAUCAAGUGCCUGCAACGUGGCGAAGUCACAUCGAUUCAUUGUCACUGAUAAGUCGACGGUAAGGGCCUGGGUGGCGCUGUGUUGGAGCGACCUGUGGCUGUGAACAAGUCUGCACCACACAUACAUAUGGGCAGAAAGUGACAGCGCGACUCGAGCUCAUCACACCCGGGCCGCACGCCGCCUACAGAAGCGCGGACCGCCCGCGCCACCCCGAGGGGGGGUGCACCCGAUGGUGACCGUCAUGACGGGAGGGACUGUGGGUGACCUGCGAGGGGUUCGCGGGUGUGGGCAGAGUUUGAAGUAAAGCUCGUGCUUGGAUGACGGAGGUGGCGCAUUUGCCGUAGGGCACGUCUCUAAGGCUGCUUCGCGCCACGCGUAUGGUGCCUCUGUGACAGGCCUGGGGCCGGGUGCCGAGUCGUCGUUGAGUUCAAGCACUGUUGCGGAGAAUCGACAAGUUGACGAAGAAACAGCGAAAACGUUUUUCUUGCUUCUGUUACUUUUCUACGUUAAAAAAGAAAAUAUGUUUUUUUUUUCGACGCUUCUCAUGUGUUCCUUCCCCUUCUUCACCGUGUCUCUCUGUCUGCGUGUCCGUCUCUCUCUCUCUCGCUGUGUUUGUGUGUGUGAGGGAGGGGAGAGAGAAAGAGAGAGGGAGACGCACACAGACACACACGCACACACACAGAGAGACGGUUUGCCCACUACAGGUUCCCUCAUAUGCUCUUUUUGCUUUUCGCUGAUGGUUUUAUUUUUCCUUUUCCUUGAUCGGUCGACUCGCACACGGGCUACGUGACGGGUUUGCCGUAUGUCUUUUCCUCUGUCUGUGUCUCUGCCCGUCGCCCUCUCUCGUCAAGCCUCGCACGACCAAACACAUCAGCGCCGAUCUACUUAUCUGCUCGCUUCUGUAACGCUGCCUUUGUGCAGUACUUUGGACGGGAAAAGCGUUCACCUCUUAUUCGCUGUUGAGCCUCCCCCCUCUUCCCGUCCCUGUCCCCGUCCUAAGCCGUAUCCCUCUCUCUGGUGGGCAAGGGGAACGUCCUUACACCUGACGUCGUCGCUUGCUCCGUUUUCUUUGAUCGCCGCUCCCUAUGGUUUGCUGCGGUGACGCGUUUGAGUUCGACGCUGACUUUGAGGAUGGUUGUCGCAGGACUUGUCGAGGGAUGCUUGGAGAGGGUGCGUGCGCGUGUGUGUGUCGGUGGGAGGAGAAAGGGGAGAGGAGGGAGUGGGGGGAGAACAAUGAGAGGGCAAUAGAGAAAAUGGAACGAAGAGCCGGCGUGUGCGUCGAAGUCCCUGCACGCACGUGCGCGUGCGCACGAGUUCCACUUGUAAUCCUGCGUAAUGUAAGACGACGAAUCACAAAAGAAGCCCAGUGGAGAGAGUGAGAAGGGCGAGGUUCACAAGGGCAGUCUACACAGAGGCUGCAAUUUGUCGAGCGAACAGCGAUGCACAUCGGAGUGUUGGUUCCUGCUUCCCGGCACACGCGCGUUGAGGAGCGCAGAGCGAGCACGCACCUGCUUUGUGCUUGGCAAUAAGUACCAGAAUUUUUUAUGGUGCGACCUGGGGGGUGGUGGUGGUGUACACAUCAAGGGUGUGCGGCACAAUGCGUCAAGACGCAAAACAACGCUUGACUGUGUCUUCACCCCCCCCCCCCCGCCGCCGCCACUGCCGUGUCCUCUCUCUAUAGCAGCUUCACUGGGCAGAUAAAUGGGCGAGC
rnacentral:misc_RNA from 1 species